rnacentral:ncRNA from 2 species
UACUCGCCAUCUAAAACCAAAAAUCAGGACAUAUUUAUAUCUUAUUGCUAUGUCCAAAGGUUGAUUUUUCUUCACUUGCCUCUCUUGAAGGUAGUUGUGGCAAUAAAGUGUAGUCUCCAUGAAAGGGAUGUGAGCAGAAGUCAUGUGUGCCACUUCUGGUUCAUCAACUCAAAGGCAAAGGUACUUUUUGAGGACUUCCAGCACCCUCUUCCAACAGACUGGAAGAUGGAUGUGGAUAUGAAACGACUUCAACCACACAGACCAGGACAUCAGUCUAGGGGCUGGCAGAGGUGAGCAUCUUCUGUUUGGCAUUUCCACAUGUAAUAAGUUAAGAACUGAUUUGAGAAGAUAUCCAAAAAAUGCAAUUGUAUAAAUCCAAAUAAAAAAUUUAAAUAAUCAUCCCAA